rnacentral:lncRNA from 1 species
GGCUUUGAGACCAGAUGACCUUUGGAAGUUAUCUGGGUUGAGCAGCAGGAGAAAAUUCACCCAUGCAGAACCUGAUUUGAAUAUUUAUAAGUUCCUUCAGGAAAGAAGUGCUUUUAUGCAAAAAAAAAAUGUUUUUGAAUAAAAUGAAUGUCAUUCUAAACACUGAUCCUGGGCCCAGGGGUGUAAAUCAGUGGUAGUGCUCCUGCCAAGCAUGCUUGAGAGUCUGGAUUCAAUCCCCAGCACCACAAAAAUUAAAAACAAAAUUACUUCAUUUAUUUUGAUACUGGAGCUAUCAGCCCUUAAAAAAAAAGAUACUUUAAAAUGUCUUAGAAGAAUGUUAUGUGAAUAAGUGAAGUGCAGGCAAAACACAAAUGCAGAGAAAUUGUGAAGGUGUGUACAGAUUGAGAAACUGAAAUUGUAAAUGUGUGGGUAACAUACUUGGAAGACAGAGUUUGGGACCACUAACAAAUUUGUCCUCCACCCCCACCUGGGUUUAAUGCAAUCCACAAACAGAACAGGUGAUUUGCCUAAGAAUGUCUGAAGGACUACAAAAGCUUUUAAAAUUGCUGACAGAAAAAUUUAUUGGAGGAUUAUAG